AUCGACAUUUCGAACGCACAUUGCGGUCCUCGGAUACUGUUCCUGGACCACUCCUGGCUGAGGGUCGCAUCCAUCAGACUGCCGGCCUUUCGUCUCUCGUAGGCGUGAGGUCGCGCGAAAUUGGGAGUUCGCACGUCCGCUCCUUUCGGACGGACGGCGUCUCCUUAAAUCAAUCUGGGUCGUUUCCGAAAGGUACGACUAUGAGCGUCCGCGCUUUGCGCGAGGAUGGUUCCGCAUUAAAGGCGAGCCGCCCGGCUGACGUGUCCUAGACUAUUACUAGAAGACGUCUGGCUUGUGUGCUCGGUCCGCCCGCGAAACUAUUAAGUCCUCGUUGCGAAUUCUAAGGCACGACGCGACCAGUAUAUCAUUUUGCNNNNCNNANNNUCAUGUGUCCNACNCCCNCNNNNUUC
rnacentral:misc_RNA from 1 species